UACAGAGGGUGCGAGCGUUGUCCGGAAUCACUGGGCGUAAAGGGCGCGUAGGUGGCACGACAAGUCAGUGGUGAAAGCUCGACGCUCAACGUCGAGUCGGCCACUGAUACUGUUGAGCUAGAGCACUGUAGAGGCUAAUGGAAUUCCGGGUGUAGCGGUGGAAUGCGUAGAGAUCCGGAAGAACACCGGUGGCGAAGGCGAUUAGCUGGGCAGUUGCUGACACUGAGGCGCGACAGCGUGGGGAGCAAACAGG
rnacentral:rRNA from 1 species